UGCUGCAUGGCUGUCGUCAGCUCGUGCUGUGAAGUGUCGGGUUAAGUCCCUUAACGAGCGAAACCCCUAUCACUAGUUGCCAGCGAGUCAUGUCGGGGACUCUAGUGAGACUGCCGGUGUCAAACCGGAGGAAGGUGGGGAUGACGUCAAGUCCUCAUGGCCCUUAUGCCCAGGGCUGCACACGUGCUACAAUGGCGUAUACAAAGCGACGCGAGACCGCAAGGUGGAGCAAAUCGCAUAAAGUACGCCCCAGUUCGGAUUGUGGUCUGCAACUCGACCACAUGAAGUUGGAAUCGCUAGUAAUCGCGCAUCAGCUACGGCGCGGUGAAUGUGUUCCUGAGCCUU
rnacentral:rRNA from 1 species